GAUGUUUACAUUGCUAGCGGAUCCCUUCUUUGAGCAACCCGACCCAAUGAUUCGGACCCUAUAUAUUUAUGUAUUUGAGGACUCUGUUCUUUCUUUCAUCAUUAGCCUCACUGUCUCCGUUCCAAACCCUAAUCUUCAUCCAUUCCAAACCCUUUUCAAUCGUUCGUUCACCUAUUAAUCUCAAACCCUCAACUAUAUCUUUUCACAAUCGCAAAACAUUGCCUCUGCAAUCGUUAACUGCAAUCACAUUGGCGAAUGAUCUGUGGUUAAGAAUUGAAGACAAACGAUCCGAUUGAAGUCUACCUGGUUGAUAUUGCGGCUUAUGCUUCUCUCCAAGAGAUCAGUUAGGUUUUUUACAAGGCGGUCAAGUAUAUGAUGUUGCUCAUGCUACCAAGCCUGAACACUUUCUGAAGCACAGUUACAAUAGAUGUAGCCAUGUAGGCAGUCCUGGCUUUGUUCUAAACAGAUGCUAAUGGGAGGAGGUGGAUAUUUUUCAGCUGAUGGUUUUAGAAAAUGAAUAUACUCACGCCGUUGUAUGUUUUUUUACACACGUAGCUUCUUCGUACUCCAAUUAUCAACAGUAGCUAAUCGCAUGUUUGUAAAAUGUUUUAACAUGCCUUGCUUGAACAUUCAGUGCCUUUGUUUUGCUUUCACGUUAAUAAAACAAGAUUUAAUUAUUUGUUGUGAGCGGAUCAUAGGAGUCUUGAACGAGUACCCUGAAGUUCAACCGUUUUCAUCAUUCGGCUUAAUCUAUAACUAGAUUGCCUUAUUUAGAAUCCUUGAUACCAUAAGGUGGAUAGGAUUGCGGUGAUACUUUGCUCUCUACAGGCUCUUUGAAGGCUUUGUUUUCGAUGUAGUUGCGGGCAUUGAACAUGAGUGUUUUGAUUAGAAAACAUGAUAAUGAUUUUGUUAAAAUGUAGUAUUUUAUCAUUCCAUCUGGAGUUCCAGGAAUGUCUAACUUGCAUGUCAAGCCUACUUUGAAUGUUAAGCCUUCUUUGAUGUGGCAGGCAGGUAUCAUCAAGGCCUUAAGAAAUGGGUUUAAGUAGGAAAUUUUGCAGUUGUUGAGAAGUGCUACAAUCAUGAAGCCAAAAUUGAUUGUUAUUGGUGCAAUUGCUUAUGCUUGAUUAUAUGUCUAUGCCGGAAUUUUCCAAUCAUCUCUACAAACUUUUGCAUAUGGAAAUGUAAUGCUUGUAGCUGCUUGUGAUCAUGAGAAGUCGUGCUCCUAGAGGACCUAAAGAGAUAUUUAACUACCAUCAUUCAUCAUUGAGAAAUGUCAUUGAACGAACUUUUGGAGUAUGGAAGGCUAGAUGGGAGAUAUUACAACAUAUGCAUGUCAAUUACACCUACGAGACACAAGUGAAGAUCGUGCUAGCAUCUAUGGCAAUUCAUAAUUAUAUUAGAAAAAAAUACAUAUGAUGAAGGAUUUACCAGGGCGCAACAAGAAUCUUACACUCCAAAUAAUGGUUAAAUGAAGUAAAUGAAGACACAAGUACACAAUGUAGAAUAGAAUAGAUGAUUUAUACAUGAGUGCAGUUAGAGAUAUGAUUGCAGGAGAUUUAACCAAACCAAGAUGAAUGUUUAUUGAAUAUUAAUGUAUUUUUGUAGAA